rnacentral:rRNA from 1 species
AUUGAACGCUGGCGGCAUGCCUUACACAUGCAAGUCGAACGGCAGCACGGGUGCUUGCACCUGGUGGCGAGUGGCGAACGGGUGAGUAAUACAUCGGAACGUACCUUAUCGUGGGGGAUAACGCAGCGAAAGCUGUGCUAAUACCGCAUACGCCCUGAGGGGGAAAGCGGGGGAUCGCAAGACCUCGCGCGAUUAGAGCGGCCGAUGCCUGAUUAGCUUGUUGGGGGGGUAAAAGCCCACCAAGGCUACGAUCAGUAGCUGGUCCGAGAGGACAAUCAGCCACACUGGGACUGAGACACGGCCCAGACUCCUACGGGAGGCAGCAGUGGGGAAUUUUGGACAAUGGGGGCAACCCUGAUCCAGCAAUGCCGCGUGAGUGAAGAAGGCCUUCGGGUUGUAAAGCUCUUUUGUCAGGGAAGAAACACCGGCUCUAACACAGUCCGGGAAUGACGGUACCUGAAGAAUAAGCACCGGCUAACUACGUGCCAGCAGCCGCCGUAA